rnacentral:lncRNA from 1 species
GUGGAGCUGCAGUUAAAACAACUUGAUUGUGAAAUUCUAAUCCGUAAGAAGGAGGCACUACCACAACCACCUGCUCCUGCUCCUGCACAAGCUCCAUUUAUACAAUCAUAUCAUGUACCAUCUGUACAAUCUAAUGCACCUCCUCCACCUGCACCUGCACCUGCUCCAAUUCAAACCCCUGCACCUUCUCCAGCUGCAGCAAAGUCAGCUGAUUCAUCUCUUCCACCGCUCAAAUCCCCAAUGGCAGGGACAUUCUAUAGAAGUCCAGCACCCAGUGAACCAGC